CUGGUCUUGUACGAUCAGCAAAGUUAAGCAAUGUUGAGCCUCGUCAGUACCUAGAUGAGUGACCGCUUGGGAAUGCCAAGUGUUGUAAG